UAAGAACGGAUAAGAGCAAGGAGCAAAGUAUCUUUAGAGAGCUUGGAUGGAGCUGUGUAAGAGGGCAAAAUAGGUCCAGUUUUGUUCAGAAUGUUGUGACAUAAAAGUGGGGAAAAAAUGGCUAUUGUUUAUGAUCUUGUUUGUAGAUGUGCUCACCUAAAGCAACCAUUUUUCUCGCGUUGUGCCGUCAGGCGCCUAUAAACAUAUGUCUUGGUAUUUCAAGAAUAUCUGGUUGGAAGUCAUUGACUUCUUAUCCAAACGCGCUUACAACCAUCCGACACUCCAGCAUCGACCACAAUCAGCCAGCAAGUCAGUCAUGGCGUCAAGCAAUCAGGCAGUCGGUUGGUGGUGGAUCCAUUCCGAGCAUUUCUUCCAAACGUUCCUAGGACCAAGAUCAGCUAUCCCCCAAUCAGCCACCACGUCGAGUAGCCAUCCAUCCAUCUGCAAUGGAAGGUGGAAGAAGUUUCGAGGGCGAGAACCAACUUGCAACUGACCUUCAAAGACUUGAUCCAACUCAACUCAAGUCCUCCGGCAGGAUGGAUGACAAUACUCUGGAACCAAGGAUUCUUGAUAAGAUAAGUGUUUGUUAUAAAGGGCUAAUGUGUGCUGAACCAUUCAUUAUUUCAAUUGAUGAGUAAAGUUCUUGUAAUAUGACGAUGGAUUUUUUAA